rnacentral:lncRNA from 10 species
CUGGUUUUUGUCUAAGGUUCCUGGCUCACAACUCCCAUAGCCCUUGUUACAGUCUUUUGUUAUAAUGUUGGGUGUGUCAGGCCUUAGGAGCCAGCCUCUGGAAGCAGAAUCUCUCGACCUUCUCUAGUCCUCCUUUCACCUGCCCCAAGGCACCACUCUAAUCGCCCACCUUUGUCACUGUGGGUCAUAAGAGCCUCCCUAGAGAGGGUCCUGCCCUAUACCCUGGGGGAAGGAAUGCUGACAUCAAGAAGCUUCCAUUAAAAACCCUAGAGGACUGGGUUGGGGUUGGGUCAGGUCAGUUUCUGGAUAGCUGAACACGUGGAGGUACCUGGAGGGUGGGACUCCAGGGAGGGCACGGAAACUCCAUGGCCUUUUCCGCAUGCCUCGCCCUGUGCAUCUCUUCAUCUGCAUCCUUUGCAAUGUCCUUUAUAAUAAACCAGUAAAUAUAAGUAUUUCCCUGAGUUCUGUGAGCUGCUCCAGCAAACUAAUCAAACCCAAAGAAGCAGUCAUGGGAACCCCAACUUGAAGCCAGUCAGUCCUAAGUUUAGAGGCCCAGGCUUGUGACUGGUGUCUGGGAAGGUAGGUGUCGGGGUGGUGGGGACUGAGCUCUCAACCUGUGGGGUCUGACACUAUCUCCAGGUAGAUGGUGUUGGAAUUGAAUCAGAGGACACCCAGCUGGUGUCCAUUGUAG